UCUCCCGGAGCCUGGGGACAGAGGCAGGGCUGGUCUGGGCAUGGGCAGAGAGGGACAGGACCCCACUGGGCUCCCCCAGCCCCAUUAUCAGGGCCAGCACAGGGCUGUCCCCACAGCACAGCCCCUCUGUGUUGUGUUGGCACUGCAACCACAUCCCCAGGGAGGGCAGCAUCCCCAUGGAGAUGGUCUGGGGCACAGUCAGCCUCGCAUUUGGAGACAGCGUUUAUGCCCCUUUGUUCCCUUGGUCACGUCCCAUUGCAGACCGUGCACCAAUUCCCACAUUUCUCCUUCCCAUGGAGCUGCUCCAUCUCUGCCCCAUACAUCAAUAGCACAGCCCGUGCUCUGUUGGGAGGUGGCUGACAACCACAGUGAUGGACUCCACUGCCUCAUGCUCUUCCUGCCAGUGCUGCCCAGAGCACUGCCAGCAGUGCAUCCUCCCCGUCUCACCCAGCCCAGCUCUCACUUUUCUCUUCUCACCCCAGAACUGAUGCCUCAGGGUCUGGGCUCUCUCCACCCCUUGAUGUUGGUGCCCCAUGGUCUGUCAGUCAGUGGGGCAGCACAUGGGGCAGGAGGCAGCACACGGCUCUGUUUCUGUGUCCCAGGACACCAACACCCCCAGCACCCCCAGCACUGCCAGGAGGCAUCUCCCCCCCAGGACCACUGGGGAAGGACCCACCUCUGCGCCGAGCCCUGGCACUUCGCACCUGCCCAGCCAGGAGGGCCAGGAGCAGGCAGAGGAGGGCCCCCAGGAUGAUGCAGAUGACGACAGACACUGAGAGUCCCUCUCUGCUGGUGGUCGGACGGCCCCGUGGGGGAUCUGCAUGGGCAGGAACAUGGCAAGGGCUGCAUCAGACAAGGGAGAGGUUGGGGGUGGGACAAGGUAGCGCUGACCACAAAAGGCAGCAGGGGCUGGGAGGGACAGAGCUGGGUGAUGGGGCAGCUCCCACCCUGCUGGGUACAUCGCAGACUUCUCCCAGCUCCCUUGAUUUCCUGGGAGUCUCACAGCCCAGCAAGGAGCCCUUUCUCCUGGCUG
rnacentral:lncRNA from 1 species